GCUCCGUUCCCGCCGCUCCCUCAGCGCCGCCCGCGGGGCGCCCCCUGGCGGAGCCCCCUCAGCCCCGGCGCCCCCAAGGCCGCCGCAGCCCCUGCGCUGGGGCUCGGCUCAUCCGACAGCUGCCAGAGCACAGGAUAUUCUGCGUUGGAAAGAGCCGCGAGGAUCAUCAAGUGAUGAUAAAUGACUGGCCCACGUGGGCAUUAAACUCGGAAUCCUGGCCUUCUCAGCACCCUGCUCUCAGCGUUACCAGGAAGGUCCUGCCUGGGAUGGGAAUGGCUGCUGCCAGCAAGGAAAGUCCUAUACAAAUUAACAAAUUUUCUGCUAAUGUUGCUUUAAGCAGCAGCCUCUGGAAUGGCUCUAGGGCAGAACUGGUUGGUAUCUGAAGUGACAGCACAAAACUCUUCCCACAAUCCUGCUUUCCUGCCCUUUGCAGCACUUCCCUGAUGGCGGUAAAGGUGCUUGUGCCGUGUCCCUUUCCAGGCAGGAAGGAGCCAGACCAGCCGUGUUCCCGUGCAGUGCCAGCGCUGUCCCGCCGGCAGAGGGGCGUUUCCUGCAGGGGCUGCUCUGAACGGGCCCCGGAGAUGCUGCAGCCCGGGCAGAGCCCGCUGACAUCCCAAAACCACCCGAGGAACGGCUGGCAGGGCCGGGAGCGCCGGCACGUGGGGGCUGCAGAGGAGCUCCGACAGCAAUUCCCGGUGCCCGCCCCCUGGAGCUGCCACACGGCCACCAGGUAUGUCCCAGCCACCCCAGUCCCUUCCCUUCCAGCCUGGGGACAGCCUCCAGCAGCGGCCUUAAAGCCAAGGAAUUUCCCUCACAGAAAUUCCAUCCCGAGCAGUGCCCUCGGAGAUGCCUUAAAAUGCAAGGUUGGCGUUAGGUGAAGUUUUGUUUGGAUGAAGUUUGGAGUUUUCCAGGGAGCCAGCUGGAGCUGCAGAACGGAUGGGAAGCUCCCACAGUGAGAAGAACAUGAACUCACAACCACCAAGGCCUGGCAGUUCCCUGCAGUGAGAGCUCAGUGCACAUCCAGGGAGGCAAUUCCAGCAUCUGAAAGAAAGAGAGCAAGAAGAAAAGGGGACUUCUGCAAUCAAAGCCUGAAGCUGAGGAGCCCAAAAGCUCUGGAGUCUGCUCUGGAACAAAAGGAGACUCCAGGGGCCUCACUUGUGACUUCCUGAAUCCUUUGCCAUUGGACUUUGGACAAAGGAAGAGAGGGAUCUGUUCCACACGGGUGUCAUCCAGCAGGGAACAGCCCCUGUGCCAACCCCAGCCUGGCAGAGCACGCUGCCUCACUC